AGAGGUUCGAUUCUAUCGGGAUUGAACGCUGGCGGAUGCUUUACAGCGAUGCAAGUUUAACGGCAGCACGGACUUCGUGGUCUGGUGGCGAGUGGCGAACGGGUGAGUAAUGACGGGAACGUGCCUAUAGCGGGGGAUAACUACGCGAAAGCGUAGCUAAUACCGCAUACGCCCUCGGGAAAGUGGGACCUUCGGCUCUCGCAAUAUUAGAGCGGCCGAUAUCGGAUUAGCCAGUUAGGUAACGGCUCACCAAGGCGACGAUCCGUAGCUGGUUUGAGAGGACGACCAGCCACACUGGGACUGAGACACGGCCUGACUACGCAGGCAGCAGCAGGUGGGGGGAAUUUUGGACAAUGGGGGAAACCCUGAUCCAGCCAUCCCGCGUGUGCGAUGAAGGUCUUCAAGCAAAGACUUUUGGCAGGAAAGAAACGGGCACGGGAUAUUAUCUGCAAUUCGAUGGUGUUCUGUGAAGGGCACCACAACGAUGCUGCAAAGCUGCGGUAAUACGUAGGGGUGUGCGUUGAUCGGAAUUACUGGGCGGGUAUGCAGCAGGUGCUGCUCGGAAAAGAAAGAUGUGAAAUCCCAGAGCUUAACUUUGAACUUAUUUUUAAUCAUCGAGCUAGAGUGUAACAGGAGGGAGGUGGAAUUCGCGUGUAGCAGUGAAGUGGAGGUGUGAGGAAUGUCUGGAUAUAAGUGCAGCCUCCUGGAUACAUCGACGCUCAUGCACGAAAGCGUGGGGAGCAAACAGGAUUAGAUACCCUGGUAGUCCACGCCCCAAACGAUGCUCAACUAGCUGUUGGGGCCUUCGGGCCUUGCAGCAGCCAACGCGGAAGAUCGCUCGUAGUGGCUGGUCGCAAGACAAAAACCCAGCGAAUUGAUGGUCCGCACAAGCGGUGGAUGAUGUGGAUUAAUUCGAUGCAACGCGAAAACCUUACCUACCCUUGACAUGUCUGGAAUCCAAGUAGACGGAGUGCUCAAGAGAACCGAACACAGGUGCUGCAUGGCUGUCGUCAGUCGUGUCGAGAUGUUGGGUUAAGUCCCGCAACGAGCGCAACCCUUGUCAUUAGUUGCUACGAAAGGGCACUGCACGAGACUGCCGGUGACAAACCGGAGGAAGGUGGGGAUGACGUCAAGUCCUCAUGGCCCUUAUGCGGUGGGGCUUCGCGACGUCGCGGUAGUUUGUCGUGGACAGAGGAGUCGCCAAUCCGCGAGGGGGAGCCAUCCUGAACCUGAUCAGCCCGGAUCGCAGUCGUGAACUGAUCGCGCGGAAGUCAACGCUGGUAAUCGCGGAUCAGCAUGUCGCGGUGAAUACGUUCCCGGGUCUUGUACACACCGCCCGUCACAAUUAUGUGGGGAGUGUGGGUUUUACCAGAAGUAGUUAGUGCCUAACUGUAAGGAGGGCGAUUACCACGGUAGGAUCUGCGACUGGGGUAGUCGUAACAAGGUAG
rnacentral:rRNA from 1 species